rnacentral:misc_RNA from 1 species
AAUCUCCGUCAUCUCAAAAUCCUCCACCUGUCCAACAACGCAUUCUCCGGUGCCAUCCCUCCCAACCUCGGCCUAUGCACAUACCUCAACCGCCUCGACCUCAGCCAAAACUUUUUCAACGGCCAUCUCCCCGCCUCCAUCCAGUUCCUCACCUCGCUCACCUUCCUCUCACUAUCCGAUAACCAACUCGCUGGCGAACUUCCGUUGUGGUUAGGU